rnacentral:rRNA from 1 species
AUUGAACGCUAGCGGCAUGCCUAACACAUGCAAGUCGUACGGCAGCACGAGGAGCUUGCUCCUUGGUGGCGAGUGGCGGACGGGUGAGUAACGCGUAGGAAUCUGCCUUGUAGCGGGGGACAACCCGGGGAAACUCGGGCUAAUACCGCAUAAUGUCUUCGGACCAAAGUUGGGGACCUUCGGGCCUAACACUACAAGAUGAGCCUGCGUUGGAUUAGCUAGUUGGUGGGGUAAAGGCCUACCAAGGCAACGAUCCAUAGCUGGUCUGAGAGGACGACCAGCCACACUGGGACUGAAACGCGGCCCAGACUCCUACGGGAGGCAGCAGGGGGGAAUAUUGGACAAUGGGCGAAAGCCUGAUCCAGCAAUGCCGCGUGUGUGAAGAAGGCCUUCGGGUUGUAAAGCACUUUCGUUGGGGAAGAAAAAGCCAAAGUUAAUAUCUUUGGAAAUUGACGUUACCCAAAGAAGAAGCACUGGCUAACUCUGUGCCAGCCGCCGCAGUAA